AGGACCAGCGGGCCUCGAUCCCACAAGAAACAGUUAACAGCUGAACACCCAAACCAGAGGGC
rnacentral:tRNA from 1 species